rnacentral:lncRNA from 12 species
UCUGUCCGUGAACCUGCACGGCAAGCCCGAAGCCCUUUGUCAGGGGGACGCCGAGGGGCCGGAGGCUGGGGCCGGGCUCCAGGGGGCUUGGGGCGGGCAGGGGAGCUCGUGCGGGACCUCCACGUCCACCCGGCUGGCCGUGCCUCCGACGCCGGGGGGUUGCAGCCUGCAGGAGGGGAAGUUACGUGACAAGGAGGGGCGUGUGCUUACUUUCCUCUUACUUUUUACAUAAAUUUUAUUUUAGGCCCAUUUUUGAUGAUUUGCAGAGUCCUUUGAAGAGGCUUCCUGCGGAUGGCACGGCCGCCGCCCCCAGUACCAUCUGCCGUUGGCGGGCGGCACUUACCCCAUGGAGCCCGCGCCGGCCCGGGAGCCGCCAGGGUCCCUCCUUGGCUCGGAUUUUCCUCCUUUCCACGGCGCGCUUCUCCCGCAGGGCGCCCUGUUACACUAGUGGUGCUUCCCACACGGUGAUUCAACUGCAGGCUGAUGACCUGUAGUCCAUAGAAGCUGAGUGGCACUCGCUAUUGGUGCAGAUCCAAGGAAGCACAAGGCUGAUUUAUGCCUUCAGAGCUCAGAGGGACACCCACAUCUGUUCAAACCCAACUCUCCAGGCCAUGGCUGGAUAUUAUCCCCAGGGGGAUUGCUGGGCAAUGGUAAGCUUCAUCUUAAGACAGUUCCCUUCUCUCAUGGAUUGCAUUCUUGCUAAAAAGACUUGUUUCCUUUAUUUUGACAAGUGUUAUGGUUGUUGAUGGUGAGAAGGACAAUCCUUACCACUUGCUACAUCCUGGUCAGAUGUGUAAGCUCCUCCAACCCAUGAGAUUUUUAGGACAGCAUUUAUUAAUUUUGUUAUUAUUAUCAAGAUAUAAGGUCCAUCAAAUAAAAUGCAGAGACCUUAAGAGUCCA